rnacentral:lncRNA from 1 species
GUGGUGUUAUGACCCUGCCACAGGAAAAAUAUGGUCAUAGCUCAUGGUUGACGAAAAAAAUUUAAGAAUGAAAGAAAUUGAAAUCUGGAAAGAAACUUAAAUUUUCAAAAAAGAAAUGAAUUUGACAUGAUUUGUGUUGCAUAAUUGAAAUUGAUUUUGAAUUGAUAAACUUUAUAUGCUUAUUUUCUAUAAAUGAUUAUUUACUUAAAUGCCUGAUAAAAUCUGUUGAGAAGUGAUCAUUGCUUACUGGGCUGUCUAGCUCAUUACCUCC